rnacentral:rRNA from 1 species
CAGUAGCCACGGUAAUACGUAGGUGGCAAGCGUUGUCCGGAAUUAUUGGGCGUAAAGGGCUCGCAGGCGGUUUCUUAAGUCUGAUGUGAAAGCCCCCGGCUCAACCGGGGGGGGUCAUUGGAAACUGGGAAACUUGAGUGCAGAAGAGGAGAGUGGAAUUCCACAUGUAGCGGUGAAAUGCGUAGAGAUGUGGAGGAACACCAGUGGCGAAAGCGGCUCACUGGACCAUUUCUGACGCUGAUGCACGAAAGCUAGGGGAGCAAACAGGAUUAGAUACCCCGGUAGUCCCUGUCUCUUAUAC